rnacentral:rRNA from 1 species
UGCGCAGGCGGGCUCGUAAGUCAGUGGUGAAAUACUGCCGCUCAACGGUAGAACUGCCAUUGAUACUGCAAGUCUUGAAUAUGGUUGAGGUAGGCGGAAUGUGUCGUGUAGCGGUGAAAUGCAUAGAUAUGACACAGAACGCCGAUUGCGAAGGCAGCUUACUAAGCCAUUAUUGACGCUGAGGCACGAAAGCGUGGGGAGCGAACAGGAUUAGAUACCCUGGUAGUCC